CCGGCAGUAAAGGGUGAUAGCCCCGUAUCCGAAGGUGUUAGUGUUGUGAACUCGACGAGUAGGGCGGGACACGUGUUAUCCUGUCUGAAUAUGGGGGGACCAUCCUCCAAGGCUAAAUACUCCUGAUUGACCGAUAGUGAACCAGUACCGUGAGGGAAAGGCGAAAAGAACCCCGGCGAGGGGAGUGAAAUAGAACCUGAAACCGUGUACGUACAAGCAGUGGGAGC
rnacentral:rRNA from 1 species